CUUCAGGCGCCCUCCCAGCGGCAACCCCAAUCCGGAGCUUUCCGCCUUCAUCCGUGCGAAGUACGUGGACCGUGCCUUUGCGGCCACUGACGCAACGCCGCCCACGAUCGACAACUAUCUAAACCAUCCAUAUGGCGCCGAUGUCGCGGACUCUGUACACUCGCCGCCAGCGGCACCUGCAGCGUCAUCACAGCCAGCACCUGCGCCAUCAGCCGUGCCGCGCACUAACGCGGCCGAUCUCUUGAACGGUACACCUAAAAAGCAGUCGCAGCCCGCUGCCACCACGCUGACCAUCGACCUGCUCGGCGGCUUUGACGACCUUGGCAGUGUUGCGCCAAUGCCCACCUCACCCCCCGUGCCGCCGGCCAGCUCCGACCCCUUCGGCUCCUUCGUGUCCGCGCCACCGGCCACCGCUGCCAUCCCGGCGGCUACAUCCCACCUAAACGCGCUGGAGUGGACGGACUUCUACACCGCAGCUCCGGCCGCCUCCUCUUCGCCGGCCCUGCUACAGCCCACGGCAACAACACCUACCGUAAGCAUGCCGCAGCAACCUCCGGCCGCCGUUGCUGGCGCCGUGGCUGCUGCCGUUACUCUCGGCCACCACCGCAGCCACUCCAUCAGCGAAGGCGUAAGCGUCAACCCCAUCAGCAGCAGCGGCAACGGUAUGGCCGCCCAGACCUCGCGCUUUGCCCACACCAAGACGCUCAGCUCAAACCAGCCGGAUCGCGACCUGCAACGGCACCACCCCAACGGCUCCGCCGCCUCUGCGUCCUCCGGAAACCACUACCAGCCACACAACCUCCAGGACAACCACCACCACAACCACCAUAACCACCACCACAACCACCACCACAACACGCAGCCACGGGGACCUCAAGUCCACACAGGACAGAAUGGCAGCGGCGGUGCCGUGUACGACCCUUUCGGUCCAGCACCGGAUGAUCUGCUGGCGGGCCUGACCAUCCACCACGUCAUGGAAUCCAUGACGGCGCCCGCAGCAGGAGCAGCAGCGGCCACAUCUGGCAUCGCGGACGACGACCCGUUUCAGUUUAGCUCCUCGUCCUCCGCCGCCACCUCCGCGCAAGGCGACGGCAAGCAGUUUCAUGCGCCGCGCAACAGCUUCCACAGGCGGCGUCCGUCCUCCAAUCCGAAGGGGUCUGAGGAGAUCCUGCGGCUGUUUGACACGGAGCCAUCGACGGGCGCUGGGGCUGGGCUGGGUGGCGCCAGCGGUGGCGGCAGCAUGGGCGCGGCUGCGGUUGGGCUGACGGCCCCGGCGGCGGCAGCUCCGGUGGCCCACUCGCCCUCGGACGAUCCGUUCGGGGAUUUCCUGAACGUGGGCGGCCACCCCGUCGCCGCGGCGCAGAACAGUGGCGGCGGCGGUGUUCAUGGCCACCAUUUCCAACAUGAGCUGUUGCAGCAGCAGAAACAGCAGCAGAAGCAGCAGUUGUUGCUCGAGUCGCACGCCACGAUGAACGGCGGGCUGAUCAGUAGCGGGGUCGGCAGUUUGUUGUGAUGGCGGGGCGUGGAUUUGCGGAUGUCUGUGUGAAUGUGCGGGUAUGUAAGUAUGUAUGUAUGACCGGCCGUUGCUCUACUGUUACUGUACUGGGCUGCACUGCAAAUCUGCGUUGCUUCCCCCCUCUCUCUCUCCCUCUCUCUCCCCCAGCGCGGAUGUCCAUUACUGGGAGGUAAGAUUUGGUUGAACUGAGAACUGUGAGGCGUACCAGCAUAUAUGUAUGUAUGUAUGUCUCACGUGUGUGUCCAGCGAUGGGCGUGGUCCUGUAAUUACCCCGUCACCCCGUUGGGGGUGGAGAGGUGUACUUAAAGGCGAUGGUGAGGGGGGACGUGGCGGUGAACUGCUCAUCUUUUGCUGGAGGGCUGGCGAGCUGUCCUGUCCCAGAAUGCGCUGCUCGUUGCUACACAGCAGGAGGGCCUCAGAUUGUGGCGGUUUUUUUCCCGGAUUAAGAAAUGGCGGACACUUUCGUUUUACGACACAAAACACACACAUACGCGCACACACACGAUGGACCUUGCAUGUACCCGUGUGGGAUAUGCGUCCUGAGAACGUUCAGCGCGUGGGAGCUCGUGAAUGCACUCGAGGUUUGCGUCGUGUUGGUUGGUGGCGGUAGCGGCAGCGACGGGGGCCGGGGCGUUUGAGACGCUGCCUUAGUCCCUGGACGUGCAUGUGGCGUAUGUGUGUGCGUGUGUGACACUGAGCAGAACUAUGGCCGUGGCGGAGGGGGUUGAGGCGAGAACCGCUGGCGGAUGAAGGAGAUACACGAGAGAUGCGGAGGAGGUGUUCCCGGACUGGUGUUGUUCUCCUCGAGAAUGCGAGUCAAACCAGCGGAUCAGACCACCGCCCGCUCGAACCGGAAACCGGAACGCGGAGGGACGGACCCGGCGGGGGGCCUUGACCCCCUCCGCCCCACCCCACACACGCACUCGGGCAAGGAUAUAAUAGGCGCACUGGUGGUUGAAACUCGAAACCCCGUCCAGACGCAUGUGUGUAACCGGAGGACGGCAACUGAACGGGUGCUAGCAAGCUAGCUAGCUAGCUUGCUCGGUUGGUUGGCUGGGUUUGCCACGGAGCGACAGAGGGCUUUCAGAGCAGUACUCUACUACUCGACAGGCGACCGGGGCGCCCAUGGCUGCUCUGCUGCACGAGUGCUGACCAAGAAAGAAAGAUGAUGGAAUUCGUAGUAUUGGGGAAAACUUACCUGGGUGGGCGUGCGUGUAUGUACGUAUGUAUGUAUGUGCAGUGCUUGACGAUGGAGGAUGAGGGGUUGCAUGUGUGCCUGUCGUCUGUCCGUCUAUCUGUCUGCCGGGUCAUUUGUGGCUAGCUGCCGUUGCAGAUGGGUGGUGCUCGGUUCCCUGUUACGGAGGUCGUGUUGGUCCGCUCCUCCGGUGCCUCCCGCUACACUCCAAAUAGCCAUGAGCGGGUACAACCCACACACGGAAUCACCGCCAGCAGCUGCCGUGCCGUGAGAGACCUCCCCCUCCGGGCGGGCUCUUGUUGCUAAAAGAAGGGGCAAAGGCCGCGGGUUGAGGGCUCGUAAUCGUAUUUAAAAGUUGACAGAGGGGCGGUGGAUUGACGGCGGGGGCGCCACAGCCGGGCAGAGGGGGUUGCGUGUAAUUCUCGGCGGAGGAGAGGAGGGGAGAGGGAAGGGGCCUCUAUUCCACAGGCCCUGGAACUACUGGGCAUGAGUGAGAGAGUGUGGAGGGAGAGAGGGAUACGGUAUGGUACCCUGACCUGCCUGCGGGGAGUAGCAGCGGGGAGGGGAAGUCGUGUGUCGCAGUGCAGCCGCGUGGCCGCCGCUGCUGCUACUGCUGGUAGGGGUGGCGGGGAUGAUGGCGAUGAAAGUUAAAUAUUGGGUUUGUAGCGCCGAGGCCUAUUGCUUUCGUUGGCAUGUGGGUGCGCCGUGCGCCAGGGAGGAUAAAGGGGGGGAAAGGGUCGACGCGCCUGAGGUGUUUUGUGGGUGUCGUGAGGGUGCCUGAUAUUCCUAAAUUUUUGUGGAGGGGACGGGAGGGAGGGGGCGUUCUCAUUGCGUGUGUGGGUAUGUGUGGGUAGGUGGGGUGGGGGUACACCUCGAAUGCCUGGAACUGUGUGUCGACUUUAGGUUUAAAUAGGGCCCCCGAGUCGUGUGCGGUACUGCGUACGAACAAGAGGACCAGCCUAGAGGGCGUGCGGGAGCUGUUUCCUCCCAGCAGCGAGCUGCAUUCCUCCACUGUGCGGACGAGUGUUGUUGUGAGAUGUGCCUGGCCAUUCUUGCCUUGGCCGAUCCUUGCCGUGUUCGCUGUUUGCGUGGUUGGCGGCUAUUCGGGGUCCACAGCCGUGACCACGUGUACGUGUGCAUGAUGCGUUACAUCACUGUGCUUUUCGACCGCAUAUUGUACUGUGUUAAUUACGACUACUUUUUGCAUGGGGGCGGGACGUAAGGUGGGGGUGAAGGUGGGGGAGGUGCGG
rnacentral:lncRNA from 1 species